rnacentral:lncRNA from 1 species
GAGACUAUUACUUUCUUCUUUUUAAAAGUGUGGGGUCCAUAUAGAUUGUGAUCCAAUGGUCAAAAAAUCUCUAAAGUUGAGUAUAUUUUUUAUCCAUUGAAUCAUUUUUUUGGUGGAUCAAACACCAAAAAAAUCAUAAACACCUCUUUCUUUCCUUCUCAUUUCUCCCAAACUAGAAAUACUUUUUCAAAAUUAUUAUACUUUUUUUCAUUUAUUCUUUAUUUUGUAGCAAUGUAUCUCUUCGUAUAUCAAUACAAUGUAUCUCUUAUCUGAUGUUUAUAUCUUAUAUGUUUUUUAAAUUAUAAAACUCUAACGAGUAUGCCUAAAACGUAUUUUUUUUUUUUGAUAGUACUCGUAGGCACUAAUAAUUACUAUUCUAUAAUAUAAAACACAAAUAUUUUUUAAAUUUCCAAACUUCGCACAUGUUUGGGCAAACUAUUCACCAAUUAUUCAAGCAUAUCAUAAGAACCUAAGAUCCUUGAAUUUUUCUGAAUGUAGCAGUUUGAGAAUUCUACUCACUGUUUAUGGCCAAGCUUCUUGUGAGGCUACACAUGGAUGCGAUCAUUAAAGGAGACCAAAGACAAUCAUAUUCCCUUGAACUAACCACUGUCGUACUCAGGGAUCUGCCAAACCUUAAUGAGUUUAUGCCCUCAGGCUUACAAGUUUGAAGAAUCAUUAUUGGAAAAGGUUGAAAGAUUACCAACAAUACACUCACAAUGACCAAUUGAAUGGGAACAUGUCUAGAUUUAAGAGUGACGAAUUUGACUCUGCUUAUUUACUAUUUAGGAUUACUUGAGGACUAUGGUAGCUAUAUACAUCUUGUUAUUGAAGUCUACAUAUAUAUUUGAUUAUAGAUGCGUGUAUAGGUCUAAAAGCACUGAAUUUAGCUGUGUUUAGCUAUUGUUAUAUUCUUAAAAUUAGGCCAACAGGUUGUGUACGUCUGUUGCUGCAUAUUUGGGCCAAGUAGCUCUCACCAAAACAAAACAGAAAAGCCAGUUUAAUGGUAUGUGUCUACUUUGUUUACGUUGUGCAAACACUAGAUGCAUUAGUAAUUCAGAAGUGAAGAAAAUAUAAUUCAAGUCCAUGGGUUUUUUUCGUCUUUAUUUUUUGUUGUGGUUGGACCAAUAGGGACCAUGGAUCAAAGCACUACGGAACUCAGCUUGAUUAGUUUGUGCCUUACGGAGGUCAAACCUUGGAACCAUAUGAGCUACCAAAGUUGUGACGAUAAGUUCUGUUUUCCAAUAAUUUUAGUAAAGUGAUAUAUGUUUUAUGAAAUUCGUAUGCGAACUAACAACUGAUAGGUACAAAAAUGGUUAGUCUAUACAAAAUUUUGUAAACUAUUUUGUAUAAUUUUAUUUAAAAUUCGUGCUCCCGGUAGAUUAUUGAAAUGGUUUACAAACUAUUUAUUACAAGUUUUUUUUUUUAAUUUCUAUAUUCAACAUAUUCGAUAGUUCCUUUCUCCUCUAUGACCUAUGAUAUGAUAUGGCUGCUCUGACCCAUUUUUAGAUUAUUAAGCCAAUGCAUGGCACGUAAUACUCCUUGUUAAUUAAUGAAUUAAAAGAAUAUUUUUUAAACAGGAUGCACCACAUAAACUUGCAAAGCCAAGCCCUCAAUCUAAUUAAACCUUUACAAUAACUAAUUUGUGGUUUUACAAAAAUGUUUCUUCAUGUUGACCCACUAAAAUGGAGUUUCAAAACUCUAUAACAUCCAUCAUGUUUGAAUUUAGGAUAAAAAAAUUAAUGGGAUAAGUAGGAAUAAAGAAUUUUUAUCUUGAAAACUGAUUCUAAAACAAAAGUUAACUCUAAAUUAAUCUCAUUAUAUGAAUAAUAUAUAAUUCGGUCAUGCUAACCACUACUUAUUUGGCGGCUGAUAAUACACUAUUUAUAUUUUUCACAUGUUUUAAUGCACUUUUACAAAUAUUUAUACACUUUAUCACACUUAUUAAUAUAUUUUUUAUUCAUUAAUCACCGGAGAACAUUCAUAUAGUCGGCCAAGAGAUUUGGUCAUCUACACAUUAGGCAAGCAAAUUGGUUGGUUAUGGUAGUAUAUGAAACGAAAGCUCUAUUUGGAUAGAUAUAGAUUAUAAAUGAAAGAAUUUGACCAAUUUAUUUAAUAAAAAUAAUUGUAAAACUAUAUUUGGAUGGAAGUGGAUUCGAAUUAAUGGAUUUAUUUUUAAAUUUUAACAAAAAUUAUAAGAAAUUUAGUUAUAGGUAACAUGCGAAAACCAAAUGGAAUGUGAAUUAAAAGUGGAAUAGAUGUACGGUGUUAGACCAACUAAUUUAUCCUUCCUAGGAAACCAUAUGCAUUUGAGUGAUACACGAGUUUGGAAAUGAUCAAUCAACCAGUUUCUGAUCCACCACCCAAAUCGUAAGUACAAUUCUUGGCAGAAAGGAUUUCAAAUCACAUCGAUUAAUUAAUUAUUUUAAAUUCAUCAUGGCAAAACUCCGAAUUUAAAUGUCGAAAUCCAUAUGUGCAAAUUAUCAAAUCAAAAUAUAAGCUAUUCUCAUUAAGUAAUAAUAUGAAAUUUGUGUUCAUCCAAAUGAAACCUAAAAUUCAUAUAGGAUAGUUUAUUUUUGGUUUUUUACUUCGAGUUUAAGAAUUUUCUCGUGAUGAAUUUGAAAUCAUUUGUGCUAAGGCUUAUAGCUAUACAAGAAAUGCAUCUCUUCAACCUCUGAUAUGUUGUACUCAAAAAUUGAAUCACCAAUUAUUGAGUAAAACACACGUUACCCUAUAUUAUCCUAAUCAACCACACACAAGAUAAUAAAGAUUUACAUGGUUCAGCCAAUGAUGCAUAUGUCCACGGAGAACAAUCAAUAAUCCACUAAUCGAACGAAGGGGAUUACAAUGAGUGUAAAGGAAGAAGAAUCACACUCCAGUCACCUUACUUUCAAUUCUCUUUCUCACAAUCUUUUUCUAUCUUGCCUCUCACUCUUAGCACCUUUUUUUUCCACAACACAACGCACAACGCAUAAGUCUCUACACCCUACCCUCCCUUUUAUAGACCAAGGGAUGGAGGUAGCAGACUUCCAAUAUGAUAUCUAAUUGUUAUCCUAUUCUACCUAGGGAAACAUAUCAUAACUCAAGACUAACUCUUAAAGAGAUAAUCAUUUGAAAAGUUCUAGUUAACUCGAGAGUUUCACGUCCACAUGGACGCUCAAUGUGAGCAAAUUAGGCUUGGGGCCAAAUAUGCACCCUCUCGACUGUGACCUCGGUUGUCCUCUCCCAAUACCCAUUUGAUGACCUCAACCUUUUCAUACUUCCUUCUGAGAAUAGGGCUCCCGACUCAUUACUAUUCGUCAUACCCAUCUUUCUCCUCCGUGCCUCUUUAUUGAGUAGGACAUCCCUAACCAUACUCAUGAUCAACUUCUCCUUCACCACUGAAUUGCUGAGAGAAACUACUAAUGUCUGCCAACUUUUUGGCAAGGAACUCAAAAGUAAUAGGGCCCGCGCCUCAUUCUCAAACUAUAGGUAACACUAGCCAAUUAAUUGACUAAAUUCUGGAACUCGCUCGUAUGUUUUGCCACUAUAAUCCCUCUCUUAAGCUUCAAAUUCACAAACCUUCUCAUUAAUAAGCCUUUGGUCCUUCGCCUGGUACAUCUCCUCCAACUUGGUCCAUAACUCAUAAGCACUCGUCUCAUGUGCUACAUAAUGAAAUACCUCGCGUCCAAUCCACUAUUUGAUUUGCUCAAUCCCUUUUUGGUUCAUCUUUUUCCAUUCCUCAUCCUUCGUCGCUGUAGGUUUGUCUCCCUUAUUCUCCAAGGGGUCGUACAAAUCCUUGCAAAAUAGGAUAUCCUCCAUUCUUGGUUUCCACAAUGCGUAAUUCGUUGUUGAACGCAUGAUCAUAGCCCUCGAAUUAUGCUCCAUCAUCUUAAUUCUACCAAAUAGAAGCAAAAUAUCCAAAACUAACAUCAGAGAUGGAUCUGGAAUGCUGAAAAAUCUCAAAAAGGGCUAAACUAUUAAAACUAAAAAAUUUUGGGACCAAACUGUUAAAAUCAGAAACUCCAAAGACUAAACUAAAACUUUUAGAAACUUUAGAGACCAAAAUAUAAUUAUUAAAAACUCCAGGGACUAAAUUAUAAUUUUUAAAAAGUACAGGGACCUAAUGUAAUUUUUAAAAAUUACAAGGACCUAAAGUGUAAUUACCUAAACAAAUAUUUCGGAAGUCAAACAUGCGGUCAACAAGAUCAACGGCUUGGUUAAUGUUGGGCUAAAACUUCGGGCGGUGCGUUGGGGUGCAUCCGGUGUCUGUUUGGCUCUAAUUUUGAUCGACAGACUCAUUUAGAAAGAGAUGAAUCUAGCGGAUUGCUCAAAAUUCAAUUACGAACAACUUUGAAUAUGGACAAUAUGCAAAAUUCAAUUGGGCUUGGGCCCAAAUAUGUGGGUUGGACUCAACAUAAUCUACUUGAAAUUAUUUUAGUAGAUCGUUAGUACAUUCCUUGGCAUAAAAGAUUUUUAAUCACUCCCAUAAUUUAUUCAUGAUAAAACUCUGAAUCUAAAUGCCGAAAUCCAUAUGCAAACUAUCAAAUUGAAAUAUAAGUUAUUCUCAGUGAGUAAUAAAGUGAAAUUCGUUGGCUUGAAUCAUUCCUAUGAAUUAAUGAUUGCAAAUUCAUCAUGAUAAAAACUCUGAAUCUAAAUGUCGAAAUUCAUAUACAAGCUAUCAAAUCGAAAUGUAAGCUCUUUUCAUAGACUACUAUCCAUUGGCUUGAAAUCCGCAUCCAUCUAAAUGAAACCUAAAAUUCAUAUUUGAUAGUUUAUUUGUGGAUUGACUUUGAGCAUAAGAGUUUUAUAGUAAUGAGUUUGAAAUCGUUUGUCCUAAGGUUUGUAGCUAUGUAAGAACUGCAUCUUUUGAACCUCUAAUCUACUUUCUAAUAGAGUUAGAAUUAUUUUAGCAAUUAGUUCAAUUCUCAUGGUUGUGAAAACCGGUACAUAAUACAUUGGGUCAUUAUUGAAUCAAUUGAAGUAGUCCUAAAUUUUGUACAUAUUCAUUGUUACUAUAGAUU